rnacentral:rRNA from 1 species
CAUAACCCCGGGAAACUGGGGAUAAUUCCGGAUAACGCACAUAUGCUGGAAUGCUUUAUGCGUAAAAUGGAUUCGUCUGCCCAAGGAUGGGUCUGCGGCCUAUCAGGUAGUAGUGGGUGUAAUGUACCUACUAGCCAACAACGGGUACGGGUUGUGAGAGCAAGAGCCCGGAGAUGGAUUCUGAGACAUGAAUCCAGGCCCUACGGGGCGCAGCAGGCGCGAAAACUUUACAAUGCGGGAAACCGUGAUAAGGGGACACCGAGUGCCAGCGUCAUACGCUGGCUGUCCAGGUGUGUAAAAUACACCUGUUAGCAAGGGCCGGGCAAGACCGGUGCCAGCCGCCGCGGUAACACCGGCGGCCCGAGUGGUGAUCGUGAUUAUUGGGUCUAAAGGGUCCGUAGCCGGUUUGGUCAGUCCUCCGGGAAAUCUGAUAGCUCAACUAUUAGGCUUUCGUGGGAUACUGCCAGACUUGGAACCGGGAGAGGUAAGAGGUACUACAGGGGUAGGAGUGAAAUCUUGUAAUCCCUGUGGGACCACCUGUGGCGAAGGCGUCUUACCAGAACGGGUUCGACGGUGAGGGACGAAAGCUGGGGGCACGAACCGGAUUAGAUACCCGGGUAGUCCCAGCCGUAAACGAUGCUCGCUAGGUGUCAGGCAUGGCGCGACCGUGUCUGGUGCCGCAGGGAAGCCGUGAAGCGAGCCACCUGGGAAGUACGGCCGCAAGGCUGAAACUUAAAGGAAUUGGCGGGGGAGCACAUGCUACGGCUCAGUAACACGUAUAGGAAUUGGCGGGGGAGCAC